rnacentral:rRNA from 1 species
AUUGAACGCUAGCGGGAUGCCUUACACAUGCAAGUCGAACGGAGUGGCGAACGGGUGAGUAAUGUAUCGGAACGUGCCCCGUAGCGGGGGAUAAGUACGCGAAAGCGUAGCUAAUACCACCAACUAUUGGAACGGCCGAUAUCGGAUUAGCUAGUUGGUGGGGUAACGGCUCACCAAGGCGACGAUCCGUAGCCGGUUUGAGAGGACGAACAGCCACACUGGGACUGAGACACGGCCCAGACUCCUACGGGAGGCAGCAGUGGGGAAUUUUGGACAAUGGGGGCAACCCUGAUCCAGCCAUCCCGCGUGUGCGAUGAAGGCCUUCGGGUUGUAAAGCACUUUUGGCAGGAAAGCGGUACCUGCAGAAUAAGCACCGGCUAACUACGUGCCAGCAGCCGCGGUAAUUC